UACAGAGGGGGCCAGCGUUAUUCGGAAUUAUUGGGCGUAAAGGGCGCGUAGGCGGCUUUGCGUGUCUUUCGUGAAAUCCCUCGGCUCAACUGAGGACGUGCGUAAGAAACUGCAGGGCUGGAGUCCGGGAGAGGAGGGUGGAAUUCCUGGUGUAGCGGUGAAAUGCGCAGAUAUCAGGAAGAACACCCGUGGCGAAGGCGGUACUCUGGGACGGUACUGACGCUGAGAAGCGAAAGCGUGGGGAGCGAACAGG
rnacentral:rRNA from 1 species